UGGGAGGGGUAUGUGGGGGCAUUUUGGUGAUGCAAAAAUUACUGGUGUGUCCCAAGAGGGUUUUGGUUUUCCCCCCACUGAUCGAAACGAAAGGGACGAAUAUGGAAGGUUCUGUGUGUUGUAAUGUUUGUGUGUUUUGAUUUUGGUAAUGUUGGAGCCUCAAUUUUACAUUCAAAAUUAACAUCCAUAUUCGUGCUAAACCCCAGAACUGCGAGAAACCAUUCCUGAGAUUACAUUUCAGUCGCCGUCCCAAAGAAAACACUGAAUCCAUUGACGUGUGGAGCAACGUUAGGGGUGGAUGGAACGUCAUUUCACAUACGAUCGUCGACGUUGACCGCCAGUUGUGUUUGGUGACCCAUGGCCGCAGUGACCUCAGGAAGGGUAGCCGGCGAGUUCACAUACGACCUUCGACGUUGAAUGCCGGUUGUGUUUGGUCACCCAUGGCCUCGUGUAUGUUUGUGACGAUGUUGUUUCGAGGGAUUAAAUUGGAAUUUUGUGUGUGGCAUCUAUGAUUGUGCGUUGAGGGUGAAGUCAUGUAAUGGGCCAUCCCUGUUUGUGCUUGUAUUUAUGGUAAUGUGGAAUAAUGUUGUGAGAAAUGAGUGUGUCUUACAAUAUGGUAUUUCCUGUUGCAAUAUUUGUGUGAAUUAUGUUGGGUUCGUCGAAAGACGCUCAGUCUAUAAUGCAAAACGUUUGUAAUGGUUAUGUUAGGGUCCCGAAUUGUGUGUUGAAUGUUAAUGAGUCAGUGUUAUUAGUUUAGGAUGGAAUACAUAUGUUGAUGUUAUUUCAAUUGAUGUAUAAUCAGAAAAUUGCCCUGUUUGGAGGCAGGAUAUGCCUUGUGUUGUGAUAA